rnacentral:rRNA from 1 species
AUUGAACGCUGGCGGCAGGCCUAACACAUGCAAGUCGAGCGAGCGGUGGACGGGUGAGUAAUGUCUGGGAAACUGCCUGAUGGAGGGGGAUAACUACUGGAAACGGUAGCUAAUACCGCAUACCAUCAGAUGUGCCCAGAUGUGAUUAGCUGGUAGGUGGGGUAACGGCUCACCUAGGCGACGAUCCCUAGCUGGUCUGAGAGGAUGACCAGCCACAGUGGAACUGAGACACGGUCGAGACUCCUAGGGGAGGCAGCGGUGGGGAAUAUUGCACAAUGGGGGCAACCCUGAUGCAGCCAUGCCGCGUGUGUGAAGAAGGCCUUGGGGUUGUAAAGCACUUUCAGCGGGGAGGCGUUAACCGCAGAAGAAGCACCGGCUAACUCCGUGCCAGCAGCCGCGGUAAUC